UCUUAUACUGGAACUGAUUUGUAUCGUGAUUGUAUAUAGGGUCUUACCGUUAUUUAAUCAGUGGGUUAGUGUAAAUAAGUCUGGAUUCAUUUUGAACUGAGCUGUCUUUCAUACAUUAGAUGUGGAUAUUUAUAACGGAGAACAUGGAACCAUGCUUACUUGAUCUCGAGAAUUCUGCCGUAGUGUUGUUUAUGGAAUUCAAAUGUACUUUUGGUGGCAUAAUAACUGCUUCUUUGGAUAUUGUAGCAUUCAGCCUUAGAAUAACUUGAUCAUAAGAAUAAAUGGGAUAAAAAAAAUGUUGAUUUGAUGUUUUUGUUGAUCGUUAGCUCUGCUUGUCAUGACUUCUUUGAAUAGAAGCUUUGAACCUUGUUGCAUUUAUUACUAAGUCGUGCUUGCUUGAAAGAGAUAUGAAUGAAAGUCAAGUAAAGCUGGAAUAAUUAUGAUAAUACCAUUAGUUAGCUUACAGUUCCUGAUUGAUAUAAAGUGAUUAAUCUUGAAAGGUGCUAUUGAUACAAGUAUGAUGUGUUUCAUCAUUUUACUGGAGAAACUAUUGGUGAUAUUUCUGAAAUUUUACUGCCAAACUGAGUGAACUGGUGAUAUUUAAGAUUUUGAUGGCAAGGUAAUCAGUAUGUUGAUGUACUCUUAUUUUCAUGACCUACUAUCUCCCGGUGAGCAAUGUUUUCACUUUUCAAGAGGGACUUGUGGGACUUGAUGACUAUGCCUUGGUAUUUGAGAUCUGUUGUGUUUUAAUAUUUGAUUCGAUACUGGUUUCCCAUGUCAUUACAAUUUUUUUGUUCUAACAACGGCUGCUAUUACUAGAUAGUGGAACUAGAGUUGGGGGUGGGAGACAAUACUUGGCUUUUAAAUUCUUAUUUUCAUUAUUGGUUUUGACCGCGUUAGUUAGUGAAG
rnacentral:misc_RNA from 1 species